rnacentral:rRNA from 1 species
AUUGAACGCUAGCGGCAGGCCUAACACAUGCAAGUCGAACGAGUGGGGGACGGGAGGGUAAUGUCUGGGAAACUGCCCGAUGGAGGGGGAUAAGUACUGGAAACGGUAGCUAAUUCCGCAUACAAUCGGAUGUGCCCGGAUGGGAUUAGGUAGUAGGUGGGGUAACGGCUGACCUAGGCGACGAUCCCUAGCUGGUCUGAGAGGAUGACCAGCCACACUGGAACGGAGACACGGUCCAGACGCCUACGUGAGGCAGCAGUGGGGAAUAUUGGACAAUGGGCGCAACCCUGAUGCAGCCAUGCCGCGUGUAUGAAGAAGGCCUUCGGGUUGUAAAGUACUUUUAGCGAGGAGGCGUUACUCGCAGAAUAAGCACCGGCUAACUCCGUGCCAGCAGCCGCGGUAAUAC